rnacentral:misc_RNA from 1 species
GAUGAAGAACGCAGCGAAAUGCGAUACUUGGUGUGAAUUGCAGAAUCCCGUGAACCAUCGAGUCUUUGAACGCAAGUUGUGCCCGAAGCCAUUAGGCCGAGGGCACGCCUGCCUGGGCGUCACACGUCGUUGCCCCCCCAUCUACUCCUUCGGGAUUGCGGGGGGCGGAUGAUGGCCUCCCGUGCGCCUCGUCGCGCGGUUGGCAUAAAUGCCAAGUCCUCGGCGACACACGCCACGACAAUCGGUGGUUGCGAAACCUCGGUUGCCCGUCGUGUGCGGUCGUCGCGCAUCGAGGGCUCGAAAAAAUUGCCGGGCUCCGGCUCGGCUUUCAACGCGACCCCAGGUCAGGCGGGGUUACCCGCUGAAUUUAAGCAUAUCAAUAAGCGGAGGA